UGGGGGAAUAUUGCACAAUGGGCGAAAGCCUGAUGCAGCGACGCCGCGUGAACGAAGAAGUAUUUCGGUAUGUAAAGUUCUAUCAGCAGGGAAGAAGAAAUGACGGUACCUGACUAAGAAGCUCCGGCUAAAUACGUGCCAGCAGCCGCGGUAAUACGUAUGGAGCAAGCGUUAUCCGGAUUUACUGGGUGUAAAGGGAGCGUAGGCGGUCUUAUAAGUCUGAUGUGAAAGCCCGGGGCUCAACCCCGGGACUGCUUUUGAAACUGUGGAGCUAGAGUGCAGGAGGGGCAAGUGGAAUUCCUAGUGUAGCGGUGAAAUGCGUAGAUAUUAGGAGGAAC
rnacentral:rRNA from 1 species